rnacentral:snRNA from 1 species
GUGCUUGCUUCAGCGGCACACAUACUACAAUUGGAACAAUACAGAGAUUAGCAUGGCCCCUGCGCAAGGAUGACAUGCAAAUUCAUGAAGCAUUUCAUAUACAU